UAAUGGGUCAGCGACUUAUAUUCUGUAGCAAGGUUAACCGUAUAGGGGAGCCGCAGGGAAACCGAGUCUUAACUGGGCGUUAAGUUGCAGGGUAUAGACCCGAAACCCGGUGAUCUAGCCAUGGGCAGGUUGAAGGUUGGGUAACACUAACUGGAGGACCGAACCGACUAAUGUUGAAAAAUUAGCGGAUGACUUGUGGCUGGGGGUGAAAGGCCAAUCAAACCGGGAGAUAGCUGGUUCUCCCCGAAAGCUAUUUAGGUAGCGCCUCGUGAACUCAUCUUCGGGGGUAGAGCACUGUUUCGGCUAGGGGGUCAUCCCGACUUACCAACCCGAUGCAAACUACGAAUACCGAAGAAUGUUAUCACGGGAGACACACGGCGGGUGCUAACGUCCGUCGUGAAGAGGGAAACAACCCAGACCGCCAGCUAAGGUCCCAAAGUCAUGGUUAAGUGGGAAACGAUGUGGGAAGGCACAGACAGCCAGGAUGUUGGCUUAGAAGCAGCCAUCAUUUAAAGAAAGCGUAAUAGCUCACUGGUCGAGUCGGCCUGCGCGGAAGAUGUAACGGGGCUAAACCAUGCACCGAAGCUGCGGCAGCGACACUAUGUGUUGUUGGGUAGGGGAGCGUUCUGUAAGCCGUUGAAGGUGGCCUGUGAGGGUUGCUGGAGGUAUCAGAAGUGCGAAUGCUGACAUAAGUAACGAUAAAGCGGGUGAAAAGCCCGCUCGCCGGAAGACCAAGGGUUCCUGUCCAACGUUAAUCGGGGCAGGGUGAGUCGACCCCUAAGGCGAGGCCGAAAGGCGUAGUCGAUGGGAAACAGGUUAAUAUUCCUGUACUCGGUGUUACUGCGAAGGGGGGACGGAGAAGGCUAUGUUAGCCGGGCGACGGUUGUCCCGGUUUAAGCAUGUAGGCGGGAAGUUUAGGUAAAUCCGGACUUCUUUUAACGCUGAGGUGUGAUGACGAGGCACUACGGUGCUGAAGUAACAAAUGCCCUGCUUCCAGGAAAAGCCUCUAAGCAUCAGGUAACAACGAAUCGUACCCCAAACCGACACAGGUGGUCAGGUAGAGAAUACCAAGGCGCUUGAGAGAACUCGGGUGAAGGAACUAGGCAAAAUGGUGCCGUAACUUCG
rnacentral:rRNA from 1 species